AGGGUGUGCUCAGAGCAGGGGUCCUGAAGAAUGGCUCCUCUGUUUACAACAAACCCAACAGGAACCUGGGGUCAUUGCGGUGAGGGGCACAGAACUUGUGGCCUUCCUAUGAACAAAUGCCCUACAUGU